CCACUUUCUCCGCGGGACCGAGGGAGGGCCCGAGGCAGCCUUCGGCCUGCGUUCCCUUGCCCGGAAAUGGGGAGAUUAGUUUAGGUGGAGUUACGUUCAUUGAUCGUCGACUACGUAUGCCAGGGAGUUUGUUACAUAAACGGAUAUUUUUUCCGUGUAAGCGGGAAGGCCCCCCCCCCGUUUAACUGCCUUAUUCCUGCUCUACCCCACCGUAAAGUAACGCAGUGUAGAAGCCACGUGCCGUUCCAGGUGGAGACCAUCACAACUGCUUACAGGUGCAGAACUUGGCGGAAAUUGAAUGAGUGUCGCCAACCUUGCAGGUGAAAGAUGAGUCCUUGAAGUACAGACAUCUGCUAGCUGAAUACGAUCUGGGAGCACAGAGGUGACUUUAAGGAUAUCCUUGGUGAGGAUUUUGAGAAUUUGAUCUUCACAAGAGUUGCUUGGAACAUUUAAAAAUUUCCAGGAGCCUGAGGAGUACUGAAAUAAUUACUUUUGGACAGUCCAUAAAUAUGAAUAAAUAUAUUUAAUGUGCUUGA